rnacentral:rRNA from 1 species
ACCCGGAGAACUGAAACAUCUUAGUACCCGGAGGAAGAGAAAGAAAAUUCGAUUCCCUUAGUAGCGGCGAGCGAAACGGGAAGAGCCCAAACCAACAAGCUUGCUUGUUGGGGUUGUAGGACACUCUAUACGGAGUUACAAAGGACGACAUUAGACGAAUCAUCUGGAAAGAUGAAUCAAAGAAGGUAAUAAUCCUGUAGUCGAAAAUGUUGUCUCUCUUGAGUGGAUCCUGAGUACGACGGAGCACGUGAAAUUCCGUCGGAAUCUGGGAGGACCAUCUCCUAAGGCUAAAUACUCUCUAGUGACCGAUAGUGAACCAGUACCGUGAGGGAAAGGUGAAAAGCACCCCGGAAGGGGAGUGAAAUAGAACCUGAAACCGUGUGCUUACAAGUAGUCAGAGCCCGUUAAUGGGUGAUGGCGUGCCUUUUGUAGAAUGAACCGGCGAGUUACGAUUUGAUGCAAGGUUAAGCAGUAAAUGUGGAGCCGUAGCGAAAGCGAGUCUGAAUAGGGCGUUUAGUAUUUGGUCGUAGACCCGAAACCAGGUGAUCUACCCUUGGUCAGGUUGAAGUUCAGGUAACACUGAAUGGAGGACCGAACCGACUUACGUUGAAAAGUGAGCGGAUGAACUGAGGGUAGCGGAGAAAUUCCAAUCGAACCUGGAGAUAGCUGGUUCUCUCCGAAAUAGCUUUAGGGCUAGCCUCAAGUGAUGAUUAUUGGAGGUAGAGCACUGUUUGGACGAGGGGCCCCUCUCGGGUUACCGAAUUCAGACAAACUCCGAAUGCCAAUUAAUUUAACUUGGGAGUCAGAACAUGGGUGAUAAGGUCCGUGUUCGAAAGGGAAACAGCCCAGACCACCAGCUAAGGUCCCAAAAUAUAUGUUAAGUGGAAAAGGAUGUGGCGUUGCCCAGACAACUAGGAUGUUGGCUUAGAAGCAGCCAUCAUUUAAAGAGUGCGUAAUAGCUCACUAGUCGAGUGACACUGCGCCGAAAAUGUACCGGGGCUAAACAUAUUACCGAAGCUGUGGAUUGUCCUUUGGACAAUGGUAGGAGAGCGUUCUAAGGGCGUUGAAGCAUGAUCGUAAGGACAUGUGGAGCGCUUAGAAGUGAGAAUGCCGGUGUGAGUAGCGAAAGACGGGUGAGAAUCCCGUCCACCGAUUGACUAAGGUUUCCAGAGGAAGGCUCGUCCGCUCUGGGUUAGUCGGGUCCUAAGCUGAGGCCGACAGGCGUAGGCGAUGGAUAACAGGUUGAUAUUCCUGUACCACCUAUAAUCGUUUUAAUCGAUGGGGGGACGCAGUAGGAUAGGCGAAGCGUGCGAUUGGAUUGCACGUCUAAGCAGUAAGGCUGAGUAUUAGGCAAAUCCGGUACUCGUUAAGGCUGAGCUGUGAUGGGGAGAAGACAUUGUGUCUUCGAGUCGUUGAUUUCACACUGCCGAGAAAAGCCUCUAGAUAGAAAAUAGGUGCCCGUACCGCAAACCGACACAGGUAGUCAAGAUGAGAAUUCUAAGGUGAGCGAGCGAACUCUCGUUAAGGAACUCGGCAAAAUGACCCCGUAACUUCGGGAGAAGGGGUGCUCUUUAGGGUUAACGCCCAGAAGAGCCGCAGUGAAUAGGCCCAAGCGACUGUUUAUCAAAAACACAGGUCUCUGCUAAACCGUAAGGUGAUGUAUAGGGGCUGACGCCUGCCCGGUGCUGGAAGGUUAAGAGGAGUGGUUAGCUUCUGCGAAGCUACGAAUCGAAGCCCCAGUAAACGGCGGCCGUAACUAUAACGGUCCUAAGGUAGCGAAAUUCCUUGUCGGGUAAGUUCCGACCCGCACGAAAGGCGUAACGAUUUGGGCACUGUCUCAACGAGAGACUCGGUGAAAUCAUAGUACCUGUGAAGAUGCAGGUUACCCGCGACAGGACGGAAAGACCCCGUGGAGCUUUACUGUAGCCUGAUAUUGAAAUUCGGCACAGCUUGUACAGGAUAGGUAGGAGCCUUUGAAACGUGAGCGCUAGCUUACGUGGAGGCGCUGGUGGGAUACUACCCUAGCUGUGUUGGCUUUCUAACCCGCACCACUUAUCGUGGUGGGAGACAGUGUCAGGCGGGCAGUUUGACUGGGGCGGUCGCCUCCUAAAAGGUAACGGAGGCGCUCAAAGGUUCCCUCAGAAUGGUUGGAAAUCAUUCAUAGAGUGUAAAGGCAUAAGGGAGCUUGACUGCGAGACCUACAAGUCGAGCAGGGUCGAAAGACGGACUUAGUGAUCCGGUGGUUCCGCAUGGAAGGGCCAUCGCUCAACGGAUAAAAGCUACCCCGGGGAUAACAGGCUUAUCUCCCCCAAGAGUUCACAUCGACGGGGAGGUUUGGCACCUCGAUGUCGGCUCAUCGCAUCCUGGGGCUGUAGUCGGUCCCAAGGGUUGGGCUGUUCGCCCAUUAAAGCGGUACGCGAGCUGGGUUCAGAACGUCGUGAGACAGUUCGGUCCCUAUCCGUCGUGGGCGUAGGAAAUUUGAGAGGAGCUGUCCUUAGUACGAGAGGACCGGGAUGGACAUACCUCUGGUGUACCAGUUGUCGUGCCAACGGCAUAGCUGGGUAGCUAUGUGUGGACGGGAUAAGUGCUGAAAGCAUCUAAGCAUGAAGCCCCCC